rnacentral:lncRNA from 1 species
UUUUCUAGAUAGAAAGAGAUAAACGUAUACAAUCAUUCGCUAUAAUAAUAUAUGAUCGAUUAACAACGAUGUUUAUAGAUAUUUAAUCAUUUUGCUAGUGAGUAUACAGUCUUAGAUCUCGUCGUCUUGUCUUUCUCCUACACGUCACAUGGUACCACUUCAUGUUUCUUUUUGCUUGGUACCACUCCAUGUUUUUAUUAUCAAAUUGGAUAUAGAAAAAUUGCAAUUAAUUUGUAGAAGGUACAUAAAUGAGGUCCCGCUCCGGCAAAUGUUAAAGCCGUAGUUAUUUUCUUGAAGGCCUAAUGCUAUCAGCUGAAGAUUAAAAAAAGCCCAAAAACAUAUGGGCUUUGGUAUUCUUUAUAAGCCCAGUCACUUGGAAUACUAGCUUAUAUUUUCUUUCUUUAAAACUCAGUUAAUAGUUAUGUUCAAAUAGAGAGAAAAUCUAAGAUGUGGUGGGACGAAGUUGCCACGUGCCAAUGAGUUGACCAAUGAGGAAACUCAGUGCGUUAUCCGUAGGGAUAAUCAGAUAAGCAGAAUCUGAUUUUGUCACCAGAGUGCUUUUAUAGAUUACACAACACACGUUCGUUUCUUUCUUCUUCUAACACACUCUGAGUCUUGAAGGUCAACAACGUCGAGAAUAAUGGCAUCAUCUCUUUGUGCUUCUUCUGCCAUCGCUGCCAUUUCUUCUCCAAGGUAAGCUCAUCUUUUUCUCUCUUCUUAUCAGUUAUCAUCACUUGCUAUGUAGGAAUGAGACUAAGAUCCUUGUACAGUUGUACUUAAUUAGUUUCGUUAACAUGACUAUGAUAGUGAUCCAUUGAUUGGGAUUUAUGAUCUAGUAUCCGAGAAUGUGUGUGCGGUUGUAAAAUUAGUGAUCCAUCAUCCAUUUAGAUUAAACGUUGUGCGACUAUUGUUUGUGUGAUCCAAACACCGAUCUGCCCUAUGUAAUAAUAUGAAUUUAUGCAUGGUUGGUGUUAUUGAAGUUGUGACUAAAUUUUUAGGGCUAUGAUAUAUGUGCAGUUUCUUGGGUGGUAAGAAACUGAGGCUGAAGAAGAAGUUGACUGUUCCAGCUGUGUCCAGGCCAGAUGCGUCGGUGCGCGCCGUCGCAGCUGAUCCAGAUAGACCAAUCUGGUUCCCGGGAAGCACUCCUCCAGAGUGGCUAGACGGUAGCCUCCCUGGUGACUUCGGAUUUGAUCCUCUUGGUCUUUGUGAGUAUAUUUUUUUUGUUCCUCCUUGCAUGCUUUUUAACAAGUUUUAUAAACAAAAUUAGACUAUAUUUAUAAUUUUCUGACAAAAUUUAGACACAUGUCAGCAUCGGACCCGGACAGUCUAAAAUGGAACGUACAAGCCGAGAUAGUCCACUGCCGAUGGGCUAUGCUAGGAGCCGCCGGGAUAUUCAUCCCAGAGUUCCUAACGAAGAUCGGAAUCCUCAACACUCCGUCAUGGUACACGGCGGGAGAGCAAGAGUAUUUCACGGACAAAACCACACUCUUUGUCGUUGAGCUCAUUUUGAUCGGAUGGGCAGAAGGACGUAGAUGGGCCGAUAUCAUCAAGCCCGGUAGCGUCAACACUGACCCAGUCUUCCCAAACAACAAACUGACGGGCACAGACGUUGGUUACCCAGGUGGGUUAUGGUUCGACCCGUUGGGUUGGGGAUCCGGUAGCCCGGCUAAGCUCAAGGAGUUGAGGACCAAGGAGAUCAAGAACGGAAGGUUGGCUAUGUUGGCAGUGAUGGGUGCUUGGUUCCAACACAUCUACACUGGCACUGGUCCUAUUGAUAACCUUUUUGCACAUCUUGCUGAUCCUGGUC